AUAUUGGUCACAGUGGCAGUAUCAUAGCCAAUGAGGUCCAACCGAGGCGUGAUUAUUGCUAAUUGUGCUGAAGCUGAAGCUUGAUGAAAGCGGAGGAGCUGUGUUCCCAUUAGGGAAGAGCUGCUGGCUUAGUUUUUGUCAGGGGCUUCGCACAUGCUC
rnacentral:snRNA from 1 species